rnacentral:rRNA from 1 species
UGGGGAAUAUUGCGCAAUGGGCGAAAGCCUGACGCAGCGACGCCGCGUGAGGGAUGAAGGUUUUCGGAUCGUAAACCUCUGUCAGAAGGGAAGAAACUACAUUGUGCUAAUCAGCAGUGUACUGACGGUACCUUCAAAGGAAGCACCGGCUAACUCCGUGCCAGCAGCCGCGGUAAUACGGAGGGUGCAAGCGUUAAUCGGAAUUACUGGGCGUAAAGCGCACGUAGGCUGUAGUGUAAGUCAGGGGUGAAAUCCCACGGCUCAAACGUGGAACUGCCUUGGAUACUGCACGACUUGAGUCCGGGAGAGGGUGGCGGAAUUCCAGGUGUAGGAGUGAAAUCCGUAGAUAUCUGGAGGAACAUCAGUGGCGAGGGCGGCCACCUGGACCGGUAUUGACGCUGAGGUGCGAAAGCGUGGGGAGCAAACA